GCCGUCCCAGUAGCGUCCGGAUCGCUGGCGGCCCGCCUCAAGUCGGAGGCCAUUAUCCUACCCGCGUCCGAAGCGACGUGCGGCCCUCCUCAGGUCGAUAUAGUACGCCAGCCGCACACCGGAACCGCAGACCUCCAAUCGCGCGGGUCGACAGGCCGGCGCACCGCCGCUCGCGGGGCAUGGAUCCCCAAUCUCUCACCGCUCCCGGCCGACUGCCCAAUGACGCCGGCCCGCGAACCCGCAAUCGCCUACCUGCAGUCGCGCGGAUCGGAGGGCCUCCGCUCACCGCCGAUCUCUGCGCUAUCUCCGCCCACGGUCGUCACCGUUUCGCGCGCCGGUGACCUCAUCUUCAACACCCGGAUCCGGCGACCUCCAGUUGCGCGGGUCGACGGGCCGCCGCGCAGCAGCUCGCGGCGGAUCUCCGACCUCUCUCAGCUCGCGGCGGUAGGAUAGAUUAUAUUAUUGAAGUCAGUAGGGUGCAAAUGCUUCACCGAUCUAUUUAACAGGAGAGUGCUUGAACGACCAUCCAAGAAAAAUUCUUCAUAGUGCAAGGGACACAGCUAGGCUGUGAAUGUGGGGAUGAACAUGGUGCUAGGCUUCUCAGAAGUGCAUGUGAUUGCAUAAGUCAGUUAGCGAUGCUGAGAAGACCCUUCCCCAUGAGCUAGGACUGUAAAAGUCUCUUCUCGUUCUCCUCCAUGCUUACAAAUCUGUAGAAGAAAAAAAAUAGUUGUUUUCAUAUGACUCUUGUUUUGGUUAUAAAAAAGCAUAUUACUCCUGAGUGAAUGUGUUUUUCUGACUGAUAAAAUCUUCUUUGUGGUUACUAAUGGAUUUCUGUUCUGGUUAGAUGAAUAUCACUUGUCCAUUGCUUCGAGCAAGGGAUAUAUGCUUUCAGGAGGCAUAAUACAGGUCUGUGAAGCCCGUGAGAAAUUGUUGUUCGUCCGCUUCGGUCAAGUUGGUUUCAAUUCAGACCCCUCCUACAUUCACUGCAUUGGCAAUGCUUGAUCUAUCACUGUCGAUUAAUAUGCUUGAUGCAAUUGUAAUUGGAAUUCUAAAAAACAAGGUUGAUUCACUGUCACUAUUAUUUGUUUUGGUACAAAUGCCACCUCAGUAGGUUUUCCUCGAAUCUACAUAUUAUGUCAACGGGGCUAUAAUUGAAUACUGGAAAAAGAGCUUCAUUCCCUGCCAUACUCAUUCUGAAAUCCACUGCUCCUAAUUUGAGUCUUCCAUAUAUGCACACAAAGGUUUUAUUUGAUAUAUUUUUUUCCUGUAGGUUUGCUUCUGUCAGGGACCUUCUGAGCGAGGGAGGAAUUGCCAUGUAUUAUCUGAUGAUUGUGAUGAGCGACGGCCUGUUCCAACCACUACAAGUCAGUAGAUAAGUUAUCUGAAUUCUUACCAAAUUAGCAUUUUACUGAUGCUGUGGCCCAACCAGAACUUGGAUUACAUAUUCGAUGAAAUGCUUCAAUUACUUACCUGGUGCUCUCCGUUGGUUCUGGUGUCUCCAUGCUAUCAUGAGUUUGCAGUUUUGUUUAAGUUCAUGGCAUAUUUGAGUCUUGGAGAUGGAUAGCAAUAUAUACAAAAAUGAAUAGAAUGGAAAACAAUAAAUUUUCUUAAUUUGUUUUCCUUUUUCUGUUUGUUUGCUUUCAGUACUAAUUUUUGCUUUUCCAAAUACUAGGAUAGAAUUUACACUUGUCUCUUAUCCACCUAACAUUGGAUAAACUGCAAUCUUCCACAUUCAGUGCAUGGAGGCAUAUACACAACUGAUGUCCAAAUGUUUUUUUUAUUCUGAAUUCUGAGCCUUCUUCACGAACUGCUACUUCUAGCAGGAAGCAUGUGCAUUGCUUUAUUCCAGGAAGAUAUUGCAUAACGGGGAAAGAGUUGAAACUUCUAUACAUUUGGAUUGGAAAAGCAUGCAUGGUUCAGAUACUGUAGGCUCCAAGAAACUGCUGCAAUAAUAAUGCAUUUCUAAAGGGAAAUGCCUCAAGCUUGUGAGCUGGUUGCAUCCGACUCCGGUGGCACUCUUAUAAUGUCUGGCAUUGUCAAAGGGUGGGACCUGAACAAGAUGAAUGAUUGAAACAUAACCAUGGUGUUUACCCCUAACAUGAAACAUGUAGCCUUAUUCGCUACUAUUGUAGUAUUGAAGGGAGUCUGCAACAAGAUGUUCCUUUGGUUAUUUGUGUGCUCAAUUUAUUGUUGCUUCACGAUUUAGCAGAAAAUAUGAUCAAAACUACACAUUAAUAUAACAGA